AAACCACCGUUGAACGGGACGAGUAGUGGCCCGGCCCAGUACCAGAGAGCCCGGGGAAGCUGUGAACCGGGUACGGGCAGGCGACGAAAAUCACCCGUGAGGCGCCGGCUGAACGGCGGGGUUCCGGCCUUUGCCCAUUAAGCCCGGACGGUUGACCGCCGUUAUCGGUUAUCCAAGCGGGCGGGGUUUUACGACCCGCCUACCAGGGUGGUACCGCGGGUAUAUCCCCGUCCCUAGG
rnacentral:ncRNA from 1 species